rnacentral:rRNA from 1 species
AGAGUUUGAUCCUGGCUCAGGAUGAACGCUGGCGGCGUGCCUAACACAUGCAAGUCGAACGGGAAUCUUCGGAUUCUAGUGGCGGACGGGUGAGUAACGCGUAAGAAUCUAACUUCAGGACGGGGACAACAGUUGGAAACGACUGCUAAUACCCGAUGUGCCGCAAGGUGAAACCUAAUUGGCCUGGAGAAGAGCUUGCGUCUGAUUAGCUAGUUGGUGGGGUAAGAGCCUACCAAGGCGACGAUCAGUAGCUGGUCUGAGAGGAUGAGCAGCCACACUGGGACUGAGACACGGCCCAGACUCCUACGGGAGGCAGCAGUGGGGAAUUUUCCGCAAUGGGCGAAAGCCUGACGGAGCAACGCCGCGUGAGGGAGGAAGGUCUUUGGAUUGUAAACCUCUUUUCUCAAGGAAGAAGUUCUGACGGUACUUGAGGAAUCAGCCUCGGCUAACUCCGUGCCAGCAGCCGCGGUAAUACGGGGGAGGCAAGCGUUAUCCGGAAUUAUUGGGCGUAAAGCGUCCGCAGGUGGUCAGCCAAGUCUGCCGUCAAAUCAGGUUGCUUAACGACCUAAAGGCGGUGGAAACUGGCAGACUAGAGAGCAGUAGGGGUAGCAGGAAUUCCCAGUGUAGCGGUGAAAUGCGUAGAGAUUGGGAAGAACAUCGGUGGCGAAAGCGUGCUACUGGGCUGUAUCUGACACUCAGGGACGAAAGCUAGGGGAGCGAAAGGGAUUAGAUACCCCUGUAGUC